UGAACGCUAGCGGCAGGCUUAACACAUGCAAGUCGAGGGGUAACAGGAUUUAGUUUACUAGAUUGCUGACGACCGGCGCACGGGUGAGUAACGCGUAUACAAUUUGCCUUUUACUGGAGGAUAGCCCAGAGAAAUUUGGAUUAAUACUCCAUAGUAUUAUUUGGUCACCUGGCCGAGUAAUUAAAGUUCCGGCGGUAAAAGAUGAGUAUGCGUCCUAUUAGCUAGAUGGUAAGGUAACGGCUUACCAUGGCUACGAUAGGUAGGGGUCCUGAGAGGGAGAUCCCCCACACUGGUACUGAGACACGGACCAGACUCCUACGGGAGGCAGCAGUGAGGAAUAUUGGGCAAUGGAGGCAACUCUGACCCAGCCAUGCCGCGUGCAGGAAGACUGCCCUAUGGGUUGUAAACUGCUUUUAUACAGGAAGAAACUUACCCACGUGUGGGUAACUGACGGUACUGUAAGAAUAAGGACCGGCUAACUCC
rnacentral:rRNA from 1 species